UGAUUUGCUGCCUCUGCCUUCUAAUUAGCAGGCUAAAAGCAAUCAUCCGGGCACCAUGGCAACAGCUUACAGAAUCUCCCACCCACCCACCUACCCACCAAUGCCUUUCGGAUGAGUUUUGUUUCCAAAAGAGGCUUCUUAAAGGCACCGCCCCAGGCUCAGAGAUGGAGGGGAACAAAAGGGAGGAAGAUUUCAAGACUGAAGAUUGCAAAAGACCGAACGUAUUUCAGUACAGCUAAGAGCCCUGGUCCCCAAUUUGCCUUCAGGCCUGCAAGAAGCAUCCAGAGGUCUUCCUUUUUCAGCAUCCUCCUCCUGACCUUCUUCCUAAGGGCAAAAAGCUUUUCAAAGGCGGUCACACCAUCCUGGUUUGUUCCGAUUCUCACAACACGCUCCCUGCGUUCCGACAUUCGCUAAGCCGGGCAAGAUUUCUGGGGUGGUGGGAGGAAACGGGGAGGGGGUAAAUA